AUUGAACGCUGGCGGCAGGCUUAACACAUGCAAGUCGAGCGGGGGAAGGUAGCUUGCUACCGGACCUAGCGGCGGACGGGUGAGUAAUGCUUAGGAAUCUGCCUAUUAGUGGGGGACAACAUCUCGAAAGGGAUGCUAAUACCGCAUACGUCCUACGAGAGAAAGCAGGGGAUCACUUGUGACCUUGCGCUAAUAGAUGAGCCUAAGUCGGAUUAGCUAGUUGGUGGGGUAAAGGCCUACCAAGGCGACGAUCUGUAGCGGGUAUGAGAGGAUGAUCCGCCACACUGGGACUGAGACACGGCCCAGACUCCUACGGGAGGCAGCAGUGGGGAAUAUUGGACAAUGGGGGGAACCCUGAUCCAGCCAUGCCGCGUGUGUGAAGAAGGCCUUAUGGUUGUAAAGCACUUUAAGCGAGGAGGAGGCUCUUUUGGUUAAUACCCAAGAUGAGUGGACGUUACUCGCAGAAUAAGCACCGGCUAACUCUGUGCCAGCCGCCGCGGUAA
rnacentral:rRNA from 1 species